rnacentral:sRNA from 1 species
CAGUUAUGGCAGUGGGAGUCGAAGCGAGGGUCUGAAGUUCACGACUACUAGAAGGGGAGGGGAGUGGAAAGGCUCUCAGUGAAAAAGGUAUUAGAAUUAUUUCUGAAUUAUCAGUCUCUCAUUUGUGCUUUGGGGAAGCAGAAAAGGCAAAAGGGGUCUUUGGCCAUCUGCUGGAGCUUCCAGGGAGGAUGUGUCUCCAAGAGACCAGGUGUACCGAGUUUGAAAUCCCAGAAGCCCAAGAGGAAAAGAACCACAGGGAGGAAAAGACUGUCCAAAGGCUUCUGGAGUCUUCUGUUCUCUAACCUUGGAAGGUUUUGAACAAUAUUUCUCAGAGGAUAGCCUUUCACUUAUUCAUCUGUCCAGCAUGACUCAUCCCCAGGAGUGUUGAUGUCUGUCUUCACCAAGAAGGAUGACUUUGAUUCGCUGUAAUUGGCCACUGUUGCUAAUGGAGUAGAGAGAGUCUUGCUACAUGCGGGAACUAGAAUUACACCAUUGCAUUUUUUGGCUUUGUUUCUUCAAUGGGUUGUAGUGUAUGAAUAUUAUUACAAAAUAAAAUUAUUUAAAAAUAUCCA